CCUACGGGCGGCAGCAGUGAGGAAUAUUGGUCAAUGGACGAGAGUCUGAACCAGCCAAGUAGCGUGAAGGAUGACUGCCCUAUGGGUUGUAAACUUCUUUUAUAUGGGAAUAAAAUGUUCCACGUGUGGGAUUUUGUAUGUACCAUAUGAAUAAGGAUCGGCUAACUCCGUGCCAGCAGCCGCGGUAAUACGGAGGAUCCGAGCGUUAUCCGGAUUUAUUGGGUUUAAAGGGAGCGUAGGUGGAUUGUUAAGUCAGUUGUGAAAGUUUGCUGCUCAACCGUAAAAUUGCAGUUGAAACUGGCAGUCUUGAGUACAGUAGAGGUGGGCGGAAUUCGGGGUGUAGCGGUGAAAUGCUUAGAUAUCACGAAGAACUCCGAUUGCGAAGGCAGUUCACUGGACUGCAACUGACACUGAGGCUCGAAAGUGUGGGUAUCAAACAGGAUUAGAUACCCAGUAGUC
rnacentral:rRNA from 1 species